CCUCCUGAUGUUUUGAGACUACAAUUCCCCUCAUCCCUGACCACUGGUCCUGUUAGCUAGGGAUGAUGGGAGUUGUAGUCCCAAAACAUCUGGAGG